CAUUACACAACAAAAUAUGAAGGCCUGGCUUUCGCGGCCGGCUGAAGUAUUUUUUUCACCCAUGUCUUUUGCGCACUUGUUGUUUCCUGGGCGGGUUCGCCCGCCACCAGGACCAAACCAUAAACCUUUUUUUCUUAUGCAGUUUCCAUCAGCGUCAGUAAAAACAAUGUAAUUAUUACAACUUUCAACAACGGAUCUCUUGGUUCUGGCAUCGAUGAAGAACGCAGCGAAAUGCGAUACGUAGUGUGAAUUGCAGAAUUCAGUGAAUCAUCGAAUCUUUGAACGCACAUUGCGCCCUUUGGUAUUCCAAAGGGCAUGCCUGUUCGAGCGUCAUUUGUACCUUCAAGCUUUGCUUGGUGUUGGGCGUUUUUUUGUCUCCCUCUUUCUGGGAGACUCGCCUUAAAACGAUUGGCAGCCGGCCUACUGGUUUCGGAGCGCAGCACAUUUUUUGCGCUUUGUAUCAGGAGAAAAGGACGGUACUCCAUCAAGACUCUACAUUUUUCACUUUUGACCUCGGAUCAGGUAGGGAUACCCGCUGAA
rnacentral:rRNA from 1 species